ACACCGGCAGCUCUAGUGGUAGCAAUUUUUAUUGGGCCUAAAGCGUCCGUAGCCGGUUUAAUAAGUCUCUGGUGAAAUCCUGUAGCUUAACUGUGGGAAUUGCUGGAGAUACUAUUAGACUUGAGACCGGGAGAGGUUAGAGGUACUCCCAGGGUAGAGGUGAAAUUCUGUAAUCCUGGGAGGACCGCCUGUUGCGAAGGCGUCUAACUGGAACGGUUCUGACGGUGAGGGACGAAAGUUAGGGGCGCGGACCGGAUUAGAUACCCGGGUAGUCCUAACUGUAAACGAUGCGGACUUGGUGUUGGGGUGGCUUUGAGCAGCUCCAGUGCCGAAGGGAAGCUGUUAAGUCCGCCGCCUGGGAAGUACGGUCGCAAGACUGAAACUUAAAGGAAUUGGCGGGG
rnacentral:rRNA from 1 species